GACUAGAUACUGUUGGACUAGGUACUGUGGGACUAGAUACUGUGGGACGUUACCAUGGGACUAGGUACUGUGGGACAUUACCAUGGGACUAGGUACUGUGGGACCAGAUGCUGUGGGACUAGGUACUGUGGGACCAGAUACUGUGGGACCAGAUACUGUGGGACCGGAUGCUGUGGGACUAGAUACUCUGGGACCAGAUGCUGUGGGACUAGAUACUGUUGGACUCAUUACCAUGGGACUAGGUACUGUGGGACCAGAUGCUGUGGGACCAGAUACUCUGGGACCAGAUGCUGUGGGACUAGGUACUGUGGGACCAGAUGCUGUGGGACUAGGUACUGUGGGACCAGAUGCUGUGGGACUAGGUACUGUGGGACCAGAUGCUGUGGGACUAGGUACUGUGGGACCAGAUACUGUGGGACCAGAUGCUGUGGGACUAGAUACUGUGGGACCAGAUGCUGUGGGACUAGGUACUGUGGGACCAGAUGCUGUGGGACUAGAUACUGUGGGACCAGAUGCUGUGGGACUAGAUACUGUGGGACCAGAUACUGUGGGACCAGAUGCUGUGGGACUAGGUACUGUGGGACCAGAUGCUGUGGGACUAGGUACUGUGGGACCAGAUACUGUAGGACCAGAUGCUGUGGGACUAGAUACUGUGGGACCAGAUGCUGUGGGACCAGAUGCUGUGGGACUAGAUACUCUGGGACCAGAUGCUGUGGGACUAGAUACUGUGGGACCAGAUACUGUGGGACUAGGUACUGUGGGACCAGAUACUGUGGGACCAGAUGCUGUGGGACUAGAUACUCUGGGACCAGAUGCUGUGGGACUAGAUACUGUGGGACCAGAUACUGUGGGACCAGAUGCUGUGGGACUAGAUACUCUGGGACCAGAUGCUGUGGGACUUAGGUACUGUGGGACGUUACCAUGGGACUAGAUACUGUGGGACCAGAUACUGUGGGACUAGGUACUGCGGAACUAGGUACUGCGGAACUUACUGCUGGUUGGGGAACAUUUUGAUUGAAACCACAAUAUUAACGCUCUUAUGAGUGUACAUGCAUUUUUGUAUAUUAUAUAUCAGUGUAGGCUGCUGAGGGGAGGACGGCUCAUAAUAAUGGCUGGAUCGGAGCAAAUGGAAUGGCAUGCAACCAUGUGUUUGAUGUUUUUGAUACCAUUCAACUCAUCCCAUUCCAGCCAUUAUAUAUAUAUAUAUAUAUAUAUAUAUAUAUAUAUAUACACACUUCAUGACCAAAAGUUUGUGGACACCUACUCGUCUCAGCUCAUUCUAAAAUCAUGGGUAUUAAUAUGAAGUUGUUCCCCCUUAGCUGCUUUAACAGUUUCCGCUUUCCACAAGAUGUCGCAACGUUUCUGUGGGACUAAAAGCAUUAGUUAGGUCGGCAUUGAUGUGCGGGCAGUGAUGUUGGGCGAUUAGGCCUGGCUCGCAGUCUGCGUUCCAAUUCAUCCAAAAAGUGUACGAUUGGUUUGAGGUCAGGGCUCUGUAUAGGCUAGUCAGGUGCUUCCACAACGAUCUCAACAAACCAUGUCUGUAUGGACCUAACUUUGUCCACGGGAACAUUAUCAUACUGAAACAGGAAUGGACCUUGCCCAAACUGUUGCCACAAAAUUGGAAGCACAGAAUAGUCUAGAAUAUCAUUGUAUGCUGUAGCGUUAACAUUUUCCUUCACUGGAACUAAGGGGCCUAGCCCGAACCAUGGAAUAAAGACCCAGACCAUAAUUCCUCCUCCACUAAACUUUACAGUUGGCACUAUGCAUUCGGGCAAGUAGCGUUCUCCUGGCAUCCGCCAAACCCAGAUACGUCUGUCGGACUACCAGAUGGUGAAGCAUGAUUCUUCACUCCAGAGAAUGCGUUUCAACUGCUUCAGAGUCCAAUGGAGGCGAGCUUUACACCAUUUCAGCCGAUGCUUGGAAAUGCGCAUUGUGAUCUUAGGCUUGUGUGAAUGGCUUGAGCCAUUGUUGCUCCAAGAUUUUCCCACUUCACAACAAUAGCAUUUACAGUUGGGUAGCUCUAGCAGGGCAGAAAUUUGACGAACUAUCUUGUUGGAAAGGUGGCAUCCUAUGACGGUGCCACGUUGAAAGUCACUGAGUUCUUCAGUAAGGCCCAUUCUACUGUUAGUGUUUGUCUAUGGAGAUUGCAUGGCUGUGUGCUUGAUUUUAUACACCUGUCAGCAAAGGGUGUGGCUGAAAUAACCGAAUCCAUUAAUUUGAAGGGGUGUCCACAUACUUUAGUAUAUAUAUAUACAGUACCAGUCAAAAGUUUGGACACACCUACUCAUUCAAGGGUUUUUCUUUAUUUUUUUUAUUAUUUCCUACAUUGUAGAAUAAUAGUGAAGACAUUAAAACGACAAAAUAACACACAUGGAAUCAUGUACUAACCAAAAAAGUGUUAAACCAACCCAAAUAUAUUUUAUAUUUUAGAAGCUCCAAAGUUGCCACCCUUUGCCUUGAUGACAGCUUUGCACACUCUUGGCAUUCUCUCAACAAGUUUCACCUGUCAUUAUUUUACAACAGUCUUGAAGGAGUUCCCACAUAUGCUGAGCACUUGUUGGCUGCUUUUUAUUCACUCUGCGGUCCAACUCAUCACAAACCAUCUCAAUUGGGUUGAGGUCAGGUGAUUGUGGAGGCCAUUUACUCUGAUGCAGCACUCCAUCACUCUCAUCCUCAGUCAAAUAGCCCUUACACUGCCAGAUGUGUUGGGUAUUUGUGUCUUGUUGAAAAACAAAUGAUUGUCCAACUAAGCACAAACCAGAUGGGAUGGCGUAUCGCUGCAGAAUGUUGUGGUAGCCAUGCUGGAUAAGUGUGCCUUGAAUUCUAAAUACAUCACUGACAUUGGCACCAGCAAAGCACCCCCACACAAUCACACCUCCUCCUCCAUGCUUCACGGUGGAAACUACACAUGCGGAGAUCAUCCGUUCACCUACUCUACGUCUCUCAAAGACAGAGUUUGGAACCAAAAAUCUAAGUUUUGAUGUCUUCACUAUUAUUCUACAAUGUAGUAAUUAUUAUUCUACGAAAUAGUAAAAAUAAUGAAAAACCCUUGAAUGAGUAGGUGUGUCCAAACUUUUGAGUGGUAGUGUAUAUAUGUGUAUAUGUGUAUACGUGUGUAUUUUUUGUAAAUGAUACAUAUUAGAUUGUAACUAUUUAAAAGAUGUACAGAUUCUUCUUCUAGACCCAUAUAGGUUAUUAUUUUAUCUAAUGAUGUUUUUUUUGUUCUUACCUCUACCUGGCUAUAAAUGACAUGUCAUGGAGUCAGAUCAGACGGUGAAAAAUAUACCAGCACAGCUUGACGUUCUCUUUAUAAACAUGACUUUUGUAAUUUCACCUCCUCGUUGUACAGUGACAUCCCACUGGGCACAAACUGGUUGAAUAACUUUGUUUUCACUUUGAAAACUGAUCAGGCAUCAAUGUACCAGCACAGAUUGAUGUUCUCCUUUAAAACACAGAUUGAUGUUCUCCUUUAAACACAGAUUGAUGUUCUCCUUUAAAACACAGAUUGAUGUUCUCCUUUAAACACAGAUUAAUGUUCUCCUUUAAACACAGAUUGAUGUUCUCCUUUAAAACACAGAUUGAUGUUCUCCUUUAAAACACAGAUUAAUGUUCUCCUUUAAACACAGAUUGAUGUUCUCCUUUAAAACACAGAUUGAUGUUCUCCUUUAAAACACAGAUUGAUGUUCUCCUUUAAAACACAGAUUGAUGUUCUCCUUUAAACACAGAUUGAUGUUCUCUUUUAAAACACAGAUUGAUGUUCUCUUUUAAAACACAGAUUAAUGUUCUCCUUUAAAACACAGAUUAAUGUUCUCCUUUAAAACACAGAUUGAUGUUCUCCUUUAAAACACAGAUUGAUGUUCUCCUUUAAAACACAGAUUGAUGUUCUCCUUUAAAACACAGAUUGAUGUUCUCCUUUAAAACACAGAUUGAUGUUCUCCUUUAAAACACAGAUUGAUGUUCUCCUUUAAAACACAGAUUGAUGUUCUCCUUUAAAACACAGAUUGAUGUUCUCCUUUAAAACACAGAUUGAUGUUCUCCUUUAAAACACAGAUUGAUGUUCUCCUUUAAAACACAGAUUGAUGUUCUCCUUUAAAACACAGAUUGAUGUUCUCCUUUAAAACACAGAUUGAUGUUCUCCUUUAAAACACAGAUUGAUGUUCUCCUUUAAAACACAGAUUGAUGUUCUCCUUUAAAAACAGAUUGAUGUUCUCC